UACGUAGGGUGCGAGCGUUAAUCGGAAUUACUGGGCGUAAAGCGUGCGCAGGCGGUUUUGUAAGUCAGAUGUGAAAUCCCCGGGCUCAACCUGGGAACUGCGUUUGAAACUGCAAGGCUAGAGUAUGGGAGAGGGAGGUAGAAUUCCACGCGUAGCAGUGAAAUGCGUAGAGAUGUGGAGGAAUACCAAUGGCGAAGGCAGCCUCCUGGCCUAAUACUGACGCUCAUGCACGAAAGCCGUGGGGAGCAAACAGG
rnacentral:rRNA from 1 species